CUUUUCCCUCAUUCCUCCAUCAGUGUGAUUGCACUUUUUCCAGGAAUAGAAAGGGUCUGCCACAGUCCGUCAAGGAGAAGGGUUCAGGCUUGAGCUAACGGUGUCCCAUCAUCCCAGUGAAGAUCUCUGUUCAUUCCAAACACAUUUCCUGUCUUCCCUGGGAUGCCACUGGGACAAAAGGAAUUUUUGGAUGUACUGUAUAGGCUGAAUGUCACACCAUCUGCCAUGGCAUGUUGCUGUGCUGGAGCCUACGACGGGGAAUGCUUUAUCAGUGCUGCUCUUGGCAUGGACUGUGGCCUGGCCUGGCUUGGCUGCACUGGCCCCUCAGCAGGCACACACACAUUAAAAAAAAACUUGCAUGUGAGCAUAUGAGUUGA